rnacentral:lncRNA from 1 species
AGUAGCUAGAAGAGAUACAAAAAAAUAACUGCAUGCGUAAUAAUAUACCUGGAGCUCAAAAACUGUUAGUGUACAGGAAGAAUCUGAAGAGAAAGAAAUAAUUUAUUUUCCUUCAACAUUUAAAAUGAUUAGAAUACAGGAUUUAUUUUAAUUGCCCAUAUAUAAUUUUAUUAUUAAAAUUAUAUAUAUCUAGUAUGACAUAUACAACAUUUUUUUGCACUAAAUCAACCAAGAAAUAUAUAUAAUAACUGAACUAGAUGACUUUGCAUAUAGUUGAGCGGUUCUGAGUGAUAGCCAUAGAUGCAAUUUACUCUACUGUCUAUUUUUGUCUUCCUAUUUAUUUUUGUGUUUGCCUAAGAAGUCCUUCUUUGAUAGUCUGAAUGACUUGUAUCUCUUUGAAAUUAUGUUGUAUUCCUGUUGUAUUAAGGUGUGUGUGUGUGUGUGUGUAUGUAUGUGUGUCUGUGUGUGUGUGUGUGUAAGGAUGGAAGAGAGGAAAGAGAAAGAUGAGAAUGUCUUGGAUUAAUUUUUCUCUUGGAACUGGCCCUGUAUCGGUUAGCCAUAGGCAGAAGACUGAAGCUGGACCCAUAC